AUUGAACGCUGGCGGCAUGCUUUACACAUGCAAGUCGAACGGCAGCGCGGGCUUCGGCCUGGCGGCGAGUGGCGAACGGGGGAGUAAUGCAUCUGAACGUGCCCAGUAGUGGGGGAUAGGCCGGCGAAAGCCGGAUUAAUACCGCAUACGACCGGAGUGGGAAAGCGGGGGGCCGAAAGGCCUUGCGCUAUUGGGUCGGCCGAUGUCGGACUAGCUAAUUGGUGGGGUAAAGGCUUACCAAGGCGACGAUCCGGAGCUGGUCUGAGAGGACGACCAGCCACACUGGGACUGAGACACGGCCCAGACUCCUACGGGAGGCAGCAGUGGGGAAUUUUGGACAAUGGGGGCAACCCUGAUCCAGCCAUGCCGCGUGCGGGAAGAAGGCCUUCGGGUUGUAAACCGCUUUUGUUCGGGAAGAAAUCCUCUGGGCUAAUACCCCGGGGGGAUGACGGUACCGGAAGAAUAAGCACCGGCUAACUACGUG
rnacentral:rRNA from 1 species